AGGGGAGUGAAAAAGAACCUGAAACCGUGUACGUACAAGCAGUGGGAGCACGCUUAGGCGUGUGACUGCGUACCUUUUGUAUAAUGGGUCAGCGACUUAUAUUCUGUAGCAAGGUUAACCGAAUAGGGGAGCCGAAGGGAAACCGAGUCUUAACUGGGCGUUAAGUUGCAGGGUAUAGACCCGAAACCCGGUGAUCUAGCCAUGGGCAGGUUGAAGGUUGGGUAACACUAACUGGAGGACCGAACCGACUAAUGUUGAAAAAUUAGCGGAUGACUUGUGGCUGGGGGUGAAAGGCCAAUCAAACCGGGAGAUAGCUGGUUCUCCCCGAAAGCUAUUUAGGUAGCGCCUCGUGAAUUCAUCUCCGGGGGUAGAGCACUGUUUCGGCAAGGGGGUCAUCCCGACUUACCAACCCGAUGCAAACUGCGAAUACCGGAGAAUGUUAUCACGGGAGACACACGGCGGGUGCUAACGUCCGUCGUGAAGAGGGAAACAACCCAGACCGCCAGCUAAGGUCCCAAAGUCAUGGUUAAGUGGGAAACGAUGUGGGAAGGCCCAGACAGCCAGGAUGUUGGCUUAGAAGCAGCCAUCAUUUAAAGAAAGCGUAAUAGCUCACUGGUCGAGUCGGCCUGCGCGGAAGAUGUAACGGGGCUAAACCAUGCACCGAAGCUGCGGCAGCGACGCUGAUGCGUUGUUGGGUAGGGGAGCGUUCUGUAAGCCUGCGAAGGUGUGCUGUGAGGCAUGCUGGAGGUAUCAGAAGUGCGAAUGCUGACAUAAGUAACGAUAAAGCGGGUGAAAAGCCCGCUCGCCGGAAGACCAAGGGUUCCUGUCCAACGUUAAUCGGGGCAGGGUGAGUCGACCCCUAAGGCGAGGCCGAAAGGCGUAGUCGAUGGGAAACAGGUUAAUAUUCCUGUACUUGGUGUUACUGCGAAGGGGGGACGGAGAAGGCUAUGUUGGCCGGGCGACGGUUGUCCCGGUUUAAGCGUGUAGGCUGGUUUUCCAGGCAAAUCCGGAAAAUCAAGGCUGAGGCGUGAUGACGAGGCACUACGGUGCUGAAGCAACAAAUGCCCUGCUUCCAGGAAAAGCCUCUAAGCAUCAGGUAACAUCAAAUCGUACCCCAAACCGACACAGGUGGUCAGGUAGAGAAUACCAAGGCGCUUGAGAGAACUCGGGUGAAGGAACUAGGCAAAAUGGUGCCGUAACUUCGGGAGAA
rnacentral:rRNA from 1 species